CGCAUGCGCCUGGCCGCCCAGUGAGAGUCAGCUAACAGGAAAAUCUCCAGAAGGAAGAGGACACUAGUAUGUCAGAGAAAACACAAGAUGUGACGGCUUGGGAGAGGUGGACUCGAGGAAAAUGAGAGGAAUGUGGGCGGCCUGUGGGAUGAGGGGGUGAGGUAUUUAAGGGUGAGGUUAGAAGUAGUGAUGUGAGAUCAUACGUGAUGUGAGAACCCAUUUUGUAACGGUAACAGUGAAGCUAAGCAGACUGAUCCCACGGCCUCCAGUUACCUUGCAUUUACAUCUGCUUCCUUCUGUUUGCAUAUUGCAGAGCCUAUCAACUUUGCCCACCAGUGUUUCCUAAGCAUGUACAAGAGGCCAUGACAUGAGAUAGGAGUUCAAGAAGGUAUUGGGAUGAAUGCAUGGACGGAUGUCACUCACAGUUGAAAAUAUUGCUCCAGUUGUUUUUACUGCUACAGCCAAACCUGAAGCUCACUGAGAUAGUCUAGCUGGAAACUUUGCCCAAAGGAUUCCUCCACCACUGCCUCCUAUGUGCUGGGCUUGGUUUAUAAGCUGGCCUCCAUUUUCCCUCUACCCCCUAACAUUCUCACUACUGCACAGCCAGCCCCUGUUCUCAAAAGUUCAAUUCUAUCUCAAGUAAAAACUGACUCAGUCAUAGAAAACCU